CCUACGGGUGGCUGCAGUGGGGAAUAUUGGACAAUGGGGGGAACCCUGAUCCAGCGACGCCGCGUGAGUGAAGAAGUAUUUCGGUAUGGAAAGCUCUAUCAGCAGGGAAGCAAGAAAUGACGGUACCUGACUAAGAAGCACCGGCUAACUACGUGCCAGCAGCCGCGGUAAUACGUAAGGGGCAAGCGUUAUCCGGAUUUACUGGGUGUAAAGGGAGCGUAGACGGCGAUGCAAGUCUGAAGUGAAAGGCGGGAGCCCAACCCCCGGACUGCGUUGGAAACUGUAUGGCGUGAGUGCAGGAGAGGUAAGUGGAAUUCCUAGUGUAGCGGUGAAAUGCGUAGAUAUGAGGCGGAACACCAGUGGCGAAGGCGGCGUACUGGACUGUAACUGACGUUGAGGCUCGAAAGCGUGGGGAGCAAACAGGAUUAGAUACCCCAGUAGUC
rnacentral:rRNA from 1 species